UGGAACGGGAGCGGAGGCACCUGUACCUCUUCCCAGAGGGCAGGAGACUGAACAGUUUGUGUGCAGGGUGGCUUGUGUCCUUGGUAAUCAUCAGUGUUUAGCGGGUGAGGCUGGUGUAAAUGUCCUGCAGGGAGGGGAGCGGCGCUCUAAUGAUCUUUGCUGUGUUCAGGGGCCAGAGGUGAAGCACGCUAGCUUCCUCUUCCUCUUCGUGCCAUCCUCCUGGAUCGCCCUAUUCCGCAUCUUCAGCUCUGCACCGAUCCUGCACAUGAUAUACUUCCUGCACAGAAGCUUUUCCACUAUGCCGGCAUGUUCAGGGUGGACAAGGUGGCUAAGGAUCCCAGAACUGUGCACUUCCCGCUCCAGAGUUGCUGUAAGGCCAAUUUUUGCCCAGUGGGUCUUAAUGGAGGGGGUGAGUUUUUCCUCAAGUCGCCAAAUAGCCGAAUUCAACAUAAUCGAUGGUUGUGCCAAUUGUGCCGAAUCUGAGUAUCGUUUAUUUUUUAAAAAUUUGGAGCUGCCAAUUUGGGUGGAGUAGUUAUGCUCUGAAGCGGGAAAGUGCACCAGAGCCGCCUCGCACUCUUUACAGGAGGAGAUGACUGGCUCCUCCGCGGCCUGACGGACCAGCCAUCCCCCAAUGUAGCCAAGGACCUCAUGGGUGGUGUCCACGUCCCCCUCAAAUGGCUCCUGUUGUGACAGUCCUGGUUCAGCUUGGCAGUGCACAGGAAUCUGACGCCGUCAGGUUUCUUGCUGAUUUGCCCCGAAAUUCUUAGGAUACUCCUGAUGGUGAGGAUCAGGCCACGCUGGCAAGGGGGAGUGAAUCUGGACCUGAAAGUCCAGGAUGGGAUCCACUUCAGGGACUCAGUUAGGAGAGUCAUUUGCUGGUCACUCCUUGGACCCAGAGCUCGGCGCCACGGAUUGCAAUCAGCAGGGGAUCUGAGGUAUAAUGUGAAGUUGUAACCAAGUACAUGUCAGCCAUUGCUACAAUGACAAUGUUAAACAUGUGCAGUGGGCACUGUGUGGGCAAUAUGUACCUUGAAUUUAGGGUGUCGAACAGUCUA